rnacentral:sRNA from 1 species
GGGAGCUGUAGUUCCAUGUGCGUGCGAUGCACUCUAUGGGCCCAGCUGUGCUGCUGUGUCAACCUGAAGGCAUUAUGGAACAGGAGGCCCUGAGUACCUGUGGUGGGGUGAGGCCAGAGUGAGCUCUGGCUCAGAUGAUCAGGGAGAAGGCUGCACCAGUCUCAUUGGAUUCUUCACACCAGCUGGUGCUGAAGGUUCAGGGGUUGAAGUUGAAAGAAGCCCGUGGGGUCCUCCAUAAAGGACUCAAGGUGCUGGCCUUCCAACAGCCUGUUCUUUCUACCACACUCCCGAGGAAGCUCCCAUGGACAAAGCCGGAUAAUCCGAAAGGCAUACCUGGAAGACUUUUACACCCGGAUGAUGCAUGAGUGCUAUCAGAUAUGGGCCCAGCUGGAGCAUGAGGCUGGAACCCAACUGUACAGGCAGACUGGAUUACUGCUGCUGGGAAUGAAAGAGAAUCAAGAAUUAAAGACAAUCCAGGCCAGUCUGUCGAGGCAGAGGGUAGAACACCAGUGUCUUUCAUCGGAGGAACUGAAGCAACGUUUCCCAAAUAUUCGGUUGCCCAGGGGAGAAGUGGGGCUGUUGGACAAUUCCGGAGGAGUUCUCUAUGCAUACAAGGCCCUCAGAGCCCUGCAG